UCUCUCUGCUUUCAGCUUCUUUACAGUGUUGCCUUGUGGCAUGGAGUUCAAGCAGCAUUGUACAGGGCUAUCAAAGCA
ensembl:miRNA